rnacentral:ncRNA from 2 species
CGGAAAUAGUCGGGGAGCCAUUUGGCUGAGAAUGCAUAUUGCAGGACCCGUUGAACCUGAUUCAGUUAACACUGACGUAGGGAACUAUGUGUGCCGCCAA